UUUGACAAUUUAUGUUUACUAGGUAACGC
rnacentral:piRNA from 1 species